UACGGGGGGGGCAAGCGUUGUUCGGAAUUACUGGGCGUAAAGGGCUCGUAGGUGGCCAACUAAGUCAGACGUGAAAUCCCUCGGCUUAACCGGGGAACUGCGUCUGAUACUGGAUGGCUUGAGUAUGGGAGAGGGAUGCGGAAUUCCAGGUGUAGCGGUGAAAUGCGUAGAUAUCGGGAGGAACACCUGUGGCGAAAGCGGCUACCUGGACCAGCACUGACACUGAGGCACGAAAGCGUGGGGAGCAAGCAGG
rnacentral:rRNA from 1 species